GAUGAACGCUGGCGGCGUGCCUAAUACAUGCAAGUCGAGCGAACGGACGAGAAGCUUGCUUCUCUGAUGUUAGCGGCGGACGGGUGAGUAACACGUGGAUAACCUACCUAUAAGACUGGGAUAACUUCGGGAAACCGGAGCUAAUACCGGAUGAUAUUUUGAACCGCAUGGUUCAAAAGUGAAAGACGGUCUUGCUGUCACUUAUAGAUGGAUCCGCGCUGCAUUAGCUAGUUGGUAAGGUAACGGCUUACCAAGGCAACGAUGCAUAGCCGACCUGAGAGGGUGAUCGGCCACACUGGAACUGAGACACGGUCCAGACUCCUACGGGAGGCAGCCGUAGGGAAUCUUCCGCAAUGGGCGAAAGCCUGACGGAGCAACGCCGCGUGAGUGAUGAAGGUCGUCGGAUCUUAAAACUCUGUUAUUAGGGAAGAACAUAUGUGUAAGUAACUGUGCACAUCUUGACGGUACCUAAUCAGAAAGCCACGGCUAACUACGUG
rnacentral:rRNA from 1 species